rnacentral:lncRNA from 1 species
UUUUCGUUUUACAGACUUUGGAUAAGCCAACAGUUCGCAUCCUUAUUUUGCUGAUCAAUCUCAUGUAGAGUGAGAUUCAUGUCGAUCUAAAAUUCCAAACCAAGCUUGAAUCUAGAAUCACAUAAAAACCAAAAUGUGCAACUAAUCAAAAACAAAAUUAUUGAGGAAUCUAGGCUAAUUAAUGAGAAUAACAAAAAGUUAAGCACACCAAAACUAAUUAGUGAUAGCAUGAAAUUUAGAAAAAUAUUGUAAACCAAAAAAAAAAUUAGAAAGAAAUUAAGUCACAGUUAAUGUACUGCAACAACAUUGGAUACAUAGUUAAACAUUAAGAAUUUAUGAUCCAUUAGAAAUGCAUACGAGUUGCAGAUUAUGAAUCCCUUAAGGCAAGACUGGUUUUUAUUUAAAAGUAUGAAAAAGGCUAGCCUAGUGAUAGCUUGGUUCUAUAGGGUUACAUCAUCAAUUGAGGACCGCGGCUAGAUGGACUAGUGAUAUGAUCUAUAUUGCGCCGGUGAAGAUCAAAAACCUGACUCAACAGAAAAUAUUCAACUCAUAUGCAGUAACAGAAAAUAUCAAGAGAAAACUACAAUCUUUUUCCUUUUGUUAUAUAGGCCCCCUACAUAAGAUGGAUAUAGUUCUACAGAUACAGGACCAAUAACUACUAUAUGAAUAAGGUAAGAUUAAUUAGCUUCCCAUCACCUUCCUUCCUUCUCCUGCCUUUGAUGAACCCAAAUAUAAGAAUAUUAAACUUCUGCAUUACCGAAACCCCAAAUCAGUCUCCAUCAUUCAGUCACAUAACACAGAAAAGACAAAAAGAAGAAAAAUGAAGCAUUCCCGGAAGCAGCACAACUCACCCGAUCUUUCAGAUGAUCAAGAGACUUGAGUGAGGUAUCUGAGGCUUAGUGAGGCUUCCGAGCUGAUGAAACCCUACCGAAUAGGGUCAACAACAAAUCAUACCGAAUAAAAAAAAAGUGUGAUAAUUAAGAAUAAGGUUUACUUACUUUUGCCUAAAAAUUGGUCCAUCCGAGCCUCAUUCUCCCACACUUAUGCAAAGUCGCUAUAUUUUGAGCUACCUCUAGGGAACCCGUCACUUUGUCCAGGAAUCCACACAUUCCUCCUUUGUUAAAUUGCUCAU